rnacentral:rRNA from 2 species
CAACUUUCAGCAACGGAUCUCUUGGCUCUCGCAUCGAUUAAGAACGCAGCGAAAAGCGAUAUGUAAUGUGAAUUGCAGAUCUACAGUGAAUCAUCGAAUCUUUGAACGCACCUUGCGCUCCUCGGUGUUCCGAGGAGCAUGCCUGUUUGAGUGUCAGUA